GUGCCAGCAGCCGCGGUAAUACGAAGGGGGCUAGCGUUGUUCGGAAUUACUGGGCGUAAAGCGCGCGUAGGCGGCGGUCUUUGUCAGGGGUGAAAUCCCGGGGCUCAACUCCGGAAUUGCCUUUGAAACGGGGCUGCUUGAGUCCGAGAGAGGAUGGCGGAAUUCCUAGUGUAGAGGUGAAAUUCGUAGAUAUUAGGAAGAACACCGGUGGCGAAGGCGGCCAUCUGGCUCGGUACUGACGCUCAGGCGCGAAAGCGUGGGGAUCAAACAGGAUUAGAUACCCUGGUAGUCCACGCUGUAAACGAUGAGUGCUAGUUGUUGGGAAGUUUACUUCUCAGUGACGCAGCUAACGCGUUAAGCACUCCGCCUGGGGAGUACGGCCGCAAGGUUAAAACUCAAAGGAAUUGGCGG
rnacentral:rRNA from 1 species